AUUGAACGCUGGCGGCAUGCUUUACACAUGCAAGUCGAGCGGCAGCGCGGGGGCAACCCUGGCGGCGAGCGGCGAACGGGUGAGUAACGCAUCGGAACGUAUCCUGUAGUGGGGAAUAACUCAUCGAAAGGUGAGCUAAUACCGCAUAAGCUCUGAGGAGGAAAGCGGGGGACCGAAAGGCCUCGCGCUGCAGGAGCGGCCGAUGUCCGAUUAGCUAGUUGGUGAGGUAAAGGCUCACCAAGGCGACGAUCGGUAGCUGGUCUGAGAGGAUGAUCAGCCACACUGGGACUGAGACACGGCCCAGACUCCUACGGGAGGCAGCAGUGGGGAAUUUUGGACAAUGGGGGCAACCCUGAUCCAGCAAUGCCGCGUGAGUGAAGAAGGCCUCGGGUUGUAAG
rnacentral:rRNA from 1 species